rnacentral:rRNA from 1 species
AGUGAACGCUGGCGGUAGGCCUAACACAUGCAAGUCGGACGGCAGCACAGUAAGAGCUUGCUCUUACGGGUGGCGAGUGGCGGACGGGUGAGGAAUACAUCGGAAUCUACUUUUUCGUGGGGGAUAACGUAGGGAAACUUACGCUAAUACCGCAUACGACCUACGGGUGAAAGCAGGGGAUCUUCGGACCUUGCGCGAUUGAAUGAGCCGAUGUCGGAUUAGCUAGUUGGCGGGGUAAAGGCCCACCAAGGCGACGAUCCGUGGCUGGUCUGAGAGGAUGAUCAGCCACACUGGAACUGAGACACGGUCCAGACUCCUACGGGAGGCAGCAGUGGGGAAUAUUGGACAAUGGGCGCAAGCCUGAUCCAGCCAUACCGCGUGGGUGAAGAGGGCCUUCGGGUUGUAAAGCCCUUUUGUUGGGAAAGAAAAGCAGCAGGUUAAUACCCCGCUGUUCUGACGGUACCCAAAGAAUAAGCACCGGCUAACUUCGUG